rnacentral:rRNA from 1 species
AUUGAACGCUGGCGGGAUGCUUUACACAUGCAAGUCGAACGGCAGCGCGGACUUCGGUCUGGCGGCGAGUGGCGAACGGGUGAGUAAUGUAUCGGAACGUGCCCAGUAGCGGGGGAUACCUCCGCGAAAGCGUAGCUAAUACCGCAUCCGCCCUCCGGGGGAAAGCAGGGGAUCGUAAGACCUUGCACUUUUGGAGCGGCCGAUAUCGGAUUAGCUAGUUGGUGAGGUAACGGCUCACCAAGGCGACGAUCCGUAGCUGGUUUGAGAGGACGACCAGCCACACUGGGACUGAGACACGGCCCAGACUCCUACGGGAGGCAGCAGUGGGGAAUUUUGGACAAUGGGGGCAACCCUGAUCCAGCCAUCCCGCGUGUGCGAUGAAGGCCUUCGGGUUGUAAAGCACUUUUGGCAGGAAAGAAACGUCGCGGGCUAAUACCCCGUGGAACUGACGGUACCUGCAGAAUAAGCACCGGCUAACUACGUG